rnacentral:sRNA from 11 species
CACGGCCAGCAACAUCAUCGAUGUCUCGUUGCAGCCCGCUCUUGUGGCUGCCGCACCUG